GACGAAGGAUGCAAGCGUUAUCCGGAUUCAUUGGGUUUAAAGGGCGCGUAGGCGGGUGCUCAAGUCCGUGGUGAAAUCCUCCGGCUCAACCGGAGAACUGCCUCGGAUACUGGGCGUCUCGAGUGUGGUAGGGGUAUGCGGAACUAUCGGUGGAGCGGUGAAAUGCGUUGAUAUCGAUAGGAACUCCGGUGGCGAAGGCGGCAUACUGGACCACCACUGACGCUGAUGCGCGAAAGCCAGGGGAGCAAACAGG
rnacentral:rRNA from 1 species